GACAGAGGGUGCAAACGUUGUUCGGAAUUACUGGGCGUAAAGCGCGUGUAGGCGGCUAAGUAAGUCGGGCGUGAGAUCCCACGGCUCAACCGUGGAAGUGCACUCGAAACUGCAUAGCUAGAGUCCUGGAGAGGAAGGUGGAAUGCUUGGUGUAGAGGUGAAAUUCGUAGAUAUCAAGCGGAACACCGGUGGCGAAGGCGGCCUUCUGGACAGUGACUGACGCUGAGACGCGAAAGCGUGGGGAGCAAACAGG
rnacentral:rRNA from 1 species